CUCCCCCAUAAUUUACACAGUACCAGCAACUCUAAUGAUCUCGAGAAAUUUUCUGUCUAUCUCUUAAACCAUGACCUGAUUCAAGCUCAGCAGCCAAGAUACGUAUAUCAGGUGUUAUCUCCCAGUUCGCUUUAUGAUCCCGAUUUAUGUGUCUUGGUUGGGUUCCACACCUCUCCAAUCCACCAACAUUGUCAAUAUGGCUUUGUAUUUCU
rnacentral:misc_RNA from 1 species